rnacentral:rRNA from 1 species
AAUGAACGUUGGCGGCGUGGAUUAGGCAUGCAAGUCGUACGAGAAUCGUAGCAAUACGAGGAAAGUGGCGGAAGGGAGAGGAUUACGUGGGAAUCUACCCUCAGAACUGGGAUAGCGGCGGGAAACUGCCGGUAAUACCAGAUAAUGUCUGUGGACCAAAGGUGUGAUUCCGUCUGGGGAUGAGCCCACGUCCUAUUAGCUAGUUGGCAGGGUAAUGGCCUACCAAGGCAAUGAUGGGUAGCGGGUGUGAGAGCAUGACCCGCCUCACUGGGACUGAGAACUGGCCAGACACCUACGGGUGGCUGCAGUCGAGAAUGUUCGGUAAUGAGCGCAAGCUUGACCGAGCGACGCCGCGUGCGGGAUGAAGGCCUUCGGGUUGUAAACCGCUGUCGUAGGGGAGCAAGAGAUGAGGGUACUCCCUCUGAUUUGAGCGAUCCUAGGAGGAAGGACGGGCUAAGUUCGUGCCAGCAGCCGCAGUAAAAC